rnacentral:rRNA from 1 species
AUUGAACGCUGGCGGCAUGCCUUACACAUGCAAGUCGAACGGCAGCGCGGACUUCGGUCUGGCGGCGAGUGGCGAACGGGUGAGUAAUACAUCGGAACGUACCCUGUUGUGGGGGAUAACUAGUCGAAAGAUUAGCUAAUACCGCAUACGACCUGAGGGUGAAAGUGGGGGACCGCAAGGCCUCACGCAGCAGGAGCGGCCGAUGUCUGAUUAGCUAGUUGGUGGGGUAAAGGCCCACCAAGGCGACGAUCAGUAGCUGGUCUGAGAGGACGAUCAGCCACACUGGGACUGAGACACGGCCCAGACUCCUACGGGAGGCAGCAGUGGGGAAUUUUGGACAAUGGGGGCAACCCUGAUCCAGCAAUGCCGCGUGUGUGAAGAAGGCCUUCGGGUUGUAAAGCACUCUUGUCCGGAAAGAAAUCGCGCUGGUUAAUACCUGGCGUGGAUGACGGUACCGGAAGAAUAAGCACCGGCUAACUACGUGCCAGCAGCCGCCGCGG